AUUGAACGCUGGCGGCAUGCCUUACACAUGCAAGUCGAACGGUAACGCGGGGCAACCUGGCGACGAGUGGCGAACGGGUGAGUAAUGCAUCGGAACGUGCCCAGUAGUGGGGGAUAACUGCUCGAAAGAGCAGCUAAUACCGCAUACGACCUGAGGGUGAAAGCGGGGGAUCGCAAGACCUCGCGCUAUUGGAGCGGCCGAUGUCAGAGUAGGUAGUUGGUGGGGUAAAGGCCCACCAAGCCAACGAUAUGUAGCUGGUCCGAGAGGACGACCAGCCACACUGGGACUGAGACACGGGCCAGACUCCUACGGGAGGCAGCAGUGGGGAAUUUUGGACAAUGGACGCAAGUCUGAUCCAGCCAUGCCGCGUGCGGGAAGAAGGCCUUCGGGUUGUAAACCGCUUUUGUCAGGGAAGAAACGCUCUGGGUUAAUACCUCGGGGUAAUGACGGUACCUGAAGAAUAAGCACCGGCUAACUACGUGCCAGCCGCCGCGGUAACAC
rnacentral:rRNA from 1 species